rnacentral:rRNA from 1 species
UUUAAAGUCUAAUCUGCCCCCUGAAAUUAUUUUAAAGGGCUGCGGUAUUUUAACCGUACAAAGGUAGCAUAAUAAUUAGGUUUUUGAUUGAAAUCUAGAAUGAAUGAUUGGACGAGAUACAAGCUGUUUUAUAAUGAUUAAUUAGAAUUUAAUUUUUUAGUCAAAAAGCUAAAAUUUUAUUAAAAGACGAGAAGACCCUAUAAAUCUUUAUAAUAAAUUUAUUUUAAUAAAUUAUUUUAUUUAAAUUAAUAAUUUUAAUAUUAAAUUAUUUUAUUGGGGUGAUACAAAAAUUUAAUUAACUUUUUUAUUGAAAUUUCUUAAAUUAAAGAUUUAUAAAAAUAUGAUCUAUUAUUAAUAAUUCAGAGAAUAAGAUACUUUAGGGAUAACAGCGUAAUUUUAAUUUUAAGUUCUUAUUAAAAUUAAAGAUUGCGACCUCGAUGUUGGAUUAAAAUUUAA